GAUGAACGCUGGCGGCGUGCUUAACACAUGCAAGUCGAACGGAAAGGCCCAAGCUUGCUUGGGUACUCGAGUGGCGAACGGGUGAGUAACACGUGGGUGCUCUGCCCUGCACUUCGGGAUACGCCUGGGAAACUGGGUCUAAUACCGGUUAGGACCCCUCCAUUGCUGUUGUGGUGGAGAGUUUUUUCGGUGUGGGAUGAGCCCGCGGCCUAUCAGCUUGUUGGUGGGGUAAUGGCCUACCAAGGCGUCGACGGGUAGCCGGCCUGAGAGGGUGUACGGCCACAUUGGGACUGAGAUACGGCCCAGACUCCUACGGGAGGCAGCAGUGGGGAAUAUUGCACAAUGGGCGCAAGCCUGAUGCAGCGACGCCGCGUGGGGGAGGACGGCCUUCGGGUUGGAAACUCCUUUCGCUAGGGACGAAGCGUUUUGUGACGGUACCUGGAGAAGAAGCACCGGCUAACUACGUG
rnacentral:rRNA from 1 species